UACGUAGGGUGCGAGCGUUGUCCGGAAUUAUUGGGCGUAAAGAGCUCGUAGGCGGUCUGUCGCGUCGGUCGUGAAAACUUGGGGCUUAACCCUGAGCUUGCGGUCGAUACGGGCAGACUAGAGUGCGGUAGGGGAGACUGGAAUUCCUGGUGUAGCGGUGAAAUGCGCAGAUAUCAGGAGGAACACCCGUGGCGAAAGCGGCUCUCUGGGACGGUACUGACGCUGAGACGCGAAAGCGUGGGUAGCAAACAGG
rnacentral:rRNA from 1 species